CAGCCAAGUCUAACCAGCAGUGCAAACAGCUGAUCUGGUUCUGGAGCUUCCACCACAGUUUUUUCCUGAUGGGCCUUUGGCAGUUUCUCACACAUGGGAAAUAAAGUAAUGGAA